rnacentral:rRNA from 1 species
UGGGGAAUUGUUCACAAUGGGCGCAAGCCUGAUGACGCAACGCCGCGUGGAGGAUGAAGGUCUUCGGAUUGUAAACUCCUGUUGCUCGGGACGAAAAGCUCCGACCUAAUACGUCGGAGUCUGACGGUACCGGGUGAGGAAGCCCCGGCUAACUCUGUGCCAGCAGCCGCAGUAAUACAGAGGGGGCAAGCGUUGUUCGGAAUUACUGGGCGUAAAGGGCGCGUAGGCGGCCUGUUAAGUCGAACGUGAAAUCCCCGGGCUCAACCCGGGAACUGCGUCCGAUACUGGCAGGCUUGAAUCCGGGAGAGGGAUGUGGAAUUCCAGGUGUAGCGGUGAAAUGCGUAGAUAUCUGGAGGAACACCGGUGGCGAAGGCGGCAUCCUGGACCGGUAUUGACGCUGAGGCGCGAAAGCCAGGGGAGCAAACGGGAUUAGAUACCCUGGUAGUCCACGCCCUAAACGAUGUGUGCUAGGCGUCGGGGGCUUGCCCCGCGGUGCCGGAGCC